UCCUCUCCCCUUCUAGAUCCGGCGGAGCUCUUCCUCCUCUCCAUCGCGCCCUUCCUUACCGCAUCGCCACCCCGACCCCCUCCCCUUCCUCUCGCGACGCAUCCGCCGUCUUCUCUCUCGCGACGCUGCACCCUCCCCGCCAGUCCCUCGCUUCCUUCUCCACCAAAACUGAUCCAAGACACGGAAACAAUCCUCCCCACCCCCUUCUCCCCUCGAUCAAUCGAUCCCGACCGACCGCGGCGGUGAUGGAUCUCUCCAGCGGGGCCGGCGGUGGCAUGAUGCUGUCGGAGAUGUACCAGAGCGCGCGGCAGCUGCAGGGCAGGGGAUAAGCAAAGCAGGGCAGGGGAGCCGUCGCGGCCCAGCACCGCUGCCGCCCCGACCCCAUCUCCCGCCGCCGGCGGUCUCCGUCCCUCUCUUUCUCACCCAAGGCUGCAGAUCGAGCCUCCUUGCGUCCAGAUUCGCCAGCCUUGGGGGAGACGGAGAGUGGGACGGGAGGGACGCCACCACCACGCCAUCGUCGAUCUCCCUCCGUCCGUCCGUGCGGGUGGUUGGUUGGGGCCAGCGCCAGCACCUCCGCCAUGCAGACGGAGAUAGAGCCCUUUCCCCCAACCACCAUGCAGCGCAGCGGCAGAUGACCCCUCCCCAGUGGCUGGCUAGGGUUUCGGUCGCCUCCCACACCGGCGCCGCUCCGACGAGUCUGCAACAUCUCCGACGACGCCCAUGCAGGCCAUCACCAUGGAAGCUGCUACCUGCGGCUGUGACCUGUGAUUGAUGGAGGAGGAGCAGCAUGGCGGGUGUGAGUGCAGGUGCAGCCCAUCGCCAUGGAAGCAAGGCCCGCACUCUCUUCAUGUUUCUUCAUCUCAGGCGGUCAGGCGAGAUAGCAAGCAAGAGGUUCAGUCUGUUGGAGUAGGAUGGUGAGCUGCUGAUUCGGGUUAACCAGGGGCACACUAUGGUAGUAUGAUUUCUGCCUGACCCUCCAGACCGUGGAGAAGCAGAGUCGGCCGCUGGCGGGGGACAUGGGUAACGACUAGAUCGUCGUCCUCUCCAAGCGAAGGGGAUAACUCAACUAGGUGCCCAGUUUGUGCUCGCUACCGAAGGAGCUCCAUGUUGAAGAAGAUUGAAGAGCACCAGGGUUAACACCAGGGCAGCUUGUAGAGCUUGUA